GAGGGCACCACGGACACCCACCUCCCGCCCGGAUCCCGCCCCUGCCCUCCGCCCUCGACCCCGCCGGCCCGGCGCGGCGCGGCAGACGACCUGCCCUCACCUCUGGUCCCGGGCGCCCGGGCUGAGCUGCGGGAGGCGGAGUGCGCGAGGCGGCCGGGUGCUGCGGGACGGCGCGGCCGGCGAGGAGCCCGAAACUCUGCAGGGCGCGGGGCCGGGACGCCCGCAGCCUGGGCCGGCGCGGCUGGAGGAGCGACGGGCUGACAGCGGCAGCGGCGGCGGCGGCCACCGGGGAGGGCGGAGGGCGAGAGGCGGGGUGAGGAGCCGGAGGAGGGAGGGAGGAGUCGGGCGGGCCAAACUUCCCGAGGCGCGGGGUUGGCGGCGGGGGCGGCCGGGACGCAGGGGACGCGGCGCCGCGCGGGGAAAAGUUCCCCCGGCGCCGAUGGGGAGGCUGCGGCGGCGACGGCGGCGGCCGCACAGAGCAGAAGCCGGAGCGGGAGGAGCGGGAGGAGGAAGUGGCUGCGGCGCGCUCGGCCAAUGAGUGUCUGGAGCUGUGAUUAACCAGGCAGCAACACAUCAUUUCCUCCCGGCGCGGAUCCAGGGAGCCGGGGAGGGAGCGGGAAAGGCGGCGCGGCGGGGCGGGGCCGUCCCCGCGCCCCUGCAGGCGCCCGGCCCUGAGGGAGCGGCCCAGCCCCCGAGCCGGCCGGGAGCAAGCCGCCGGGCCCUGCGCCCCGCGCCGUCUGUCUGGCAGGCUGGGGCCGCCGGCGCGGGUCUCCUCGGAGGCGACGGGCAGGCCUGAGCCGGGCUCCCGCGGCUGGGGUGGCAGGAGGAGAGGCCGCGCGGCGCGGGGAGAGCCCAGAUUACUCCAGACCCUGAGCCACUGAUAACUCUCCAAGACGAUACCUGCCAUAGAAUACAUGCUAAACAAUCAUCUAUUGAACAAAUGCGACUGGAAACCAAAUUAUCAAUUUUAGCAGAUACAUAACAGUUGCCUUAUAUUAGAUUCAGACACUGACAGGAAGUGAAGCCCUAGAAAGUGAAGCCCUUUCAAAGCCCUGCUGAUGACAGGGCCUGGAUCCCUGAGUUACUGGUUGGAGUGGAGUUACCUGGAGUUGCCUCCCGAGCAGGAACAUCCAUGUUGGACAUUUUAUAUUAAAAAAGCAAAGACAUGGGGGAAAUGCUGGUGAUCUACUACAUGAAGAAAAGCAGAGUCCUAAAAUAGCAAUAUAUUGCUGGGACUACAGGAAUGAGAUGCCAAGGAGGCUGACUUUUCUCUUAUAGAAUAUAAAUACCUCUCUAAUAAAGAAAUAUUGGUUUAAAUUAUGAGUUUCAGAUACAACCGAAUCCAUUUCUGCUUCCUAGGGCUAUUUUCAUCUGAAGUCCCGUUGCACUUGAUUGUAGCCAAAGUGACUGAAGCCUCUUUGGAAAUACAUGGGACAUAAAUGUACAAUAGGGGCUGGAGGUAUAGCUCAGUAGUAGAGCAUCAGCCUAGCAAGUGUGAGGCCCUGGAUUUGAUCCCCAGCACCAAAUAUAUGUCUGUAUAAUAAAGUAAAAAGAGCUCAAAAACAAAAAUCAGACAUGAUGGGGUCUCAAACUUAGGUUCUGCUACAUGAUGACUUAUCUUCCUCAGUUUUUGAUGUGGAAUAAUAGUAACAGCUGAGAUUUGUAGAACAUUCAGUAUGUACCAGACACUGUUUAAGUGCUUUACAUACAGUGGAAUUCUGCUAAAAAUCCUCUAAGGCAAAUUUUUUAUUUUUAAUGGUACAGGAGAUUGAACCCCAGGCCUUGUACAUACUAGGCAAGUGCUCUUCAAUUGAGCUAUACCUCCAGACCUUCUUAUUUUAUUUUGAAACAAGAUCUCAUUAAAUUACCCAGGCUAGCCUUGAACUUGCAAUCCUCCUGACUCUGGCUCCGCCUCCUGAGUAGCUGGGAUUACAGGUGUGCACCACCACUUCUGGGCUGAGAUGAAUUCUAUUAGUCUUAUUUUUUCAGAUGAUAAAAAUGAAACAGAGAGAAUGUCAAUCUUGCCAAGCCCAUAUAGUGAGAAACUAGUGGAGUGAAAAUUCAAACCGAGACAGUCUAAUGUUAGGAUCUGUAGUGCUAAGCUCAGUACCAAACUGCCUUACAGAGCCAUGGAAGGAUAAAGUAAAUUAAUAUAUGUAAAGUGCCUAGCAGAAAAGUGGGCAGUCAGUAUGUUAGUUUUCUUUCUAAACGUUCCAUUGCUCUCGGGGCUCAGAAAGAGUUUUGAUUACCUUCCCCAAAAUGUAUUCUCUCAAAACACUGGGGAAAUGUAGCUGUAUGGUAGAUAGUUUUACAAUGAGUUCACUAUCAAUGACCCUCAUGUUAAAUCAGGAAUAUCAGAAAUUGUGUCCCAUAGGACUCCAUUCUGAACCUGAUUCUUUAAUAUUUCAUCAAUGAUUUACAUGGAUAGAACAGAAAAUAGGCUCCUAGAGCUGACAGAUGAUAGCAUGCUGUUAGCAGAUGACACCCAUCGUCAGCUAGGAAGGCGAGCAUCCAGGACAGGAUUAGAAUUCCAAAUGGUCUGGCAAGAUGGGGAAGAGGUGGAGGCAAAAAGAAUGAACUUCAUUAGUAACUAGCACAGAGUAAUACGAUUAUUAAGAGGGCAAACAGAUGAUACUGGCAUAGCAAGGCCAGGGACUAACAACGAAUUAUUGUUGCUGGAAAGAGUUAAUGGUGGAAAUUGUUCAGAACUGGAAAUGAGACAGGAAGUCAAGCAUGAUUCUGGAAAUGUACUGACAAAUAAGACUAUGUUGGAGUGAAUCAAUUUUCCCAUUAUAUACUGUAUUUCAAAGCCCUUUUUUGAAUGUUUUUCCCCCUUUCAAUAUUGUUCUGGAUGUCUUGGAAAAGGCACAGAGAAAGCAGAAGAAAUCUUUAUGGUUGCAAAUUAUAAUGUGACAUCCCUUAAUUGAAGAAAGCAAGUCCAUUGCUGACAGUUCAUUUAAGAAUCUGAGCACCAUUUAUGUGCUAGCCUUUGUGCUGGGUGCUGGGAGACAAAAACUAUCAAGACCUGGUUUGUAUCCUUGAGUUUGGAGACGAGGAUGAUCACUUUUAAGGC
ensembl:lncRNA